UUUUCCUACGGGGCGCAGCAGUGAGGAAUAUUGGUCAAUGGGCGAGAGCCUGAACCAGCCAAGUCGCGUGAAGGAUGAAGGAUCUAUGGUUUGUAAACUUCUUUUAUAUGGGAAUACAGUGAGGAACGUGUUCCUUUUUGUAUGUACCAUAUGAAUAAGCAUCGGCUAACUCCGUGCCAGCAGCCGCGGUAAUACGGAGGAUGCGAGCGUUAUCCGGAUUUAUUGGGUUUAAAGGGUGCGUAUGUGGUUACUUAAGUCAGC
rnacentral:rRNA from 1 species